CAGUCGCCACGGGAAUACGGAGGAUCCGAGCGUUAUCCGGAAUUAUUGGGUUUAAAGGGUGCGUAGGCGGAUAGAUAAGUCAGUGGUGAAAGACGGUGGCUCAACCAUCGCAGUGCCGUUGAUACUGUUUAUCUUGAAUAUGGAUGAGGUAGGCGGAAUGUGGCAAGUAGCGGUGAAAUGCAUAGAUAUGCCACAGAACACCGAUUGCGAAGGCAGCUUACCAAGGCAAAAUUGACGCUGAGGCACGAAAGCGUGGGGAUCGAACAGGAUUAGAUACCCCAGUAGUCCCUGUCUCUUAUAC
rnacentral:rRNA from 1 species